rnacentral:rRNA from 1 species
CCUACGGGAGGCAGCAGUAGGGAAUAUUGCUCAAUGGGGGAAACCCUGAAGCAGCAACGCCGCGUGGAGGAUGAAGGUUUUCGGAUUGUAAACUCCUUUUGUUAGAGAAGAUAAUGACGGUAUCUAACGAAUAAGCACCGGCUAACUCCGUGCCAGCAGCCGCGGUAAUACGGAGGGUGCAAGCGUUACUCGGAAUCACUGGGCGUAAAGAGCACGUAGGCGGGAUAGCAAGUCAGAUGUGAAAUCCUAGGGCUUAACCAUAGAACUGCAUUUGAAACUGUUAUUCUAGAGUAUGGGAGAGGUAGGUGGAAUUCUUGGUGUAGGGGUAAAAUCCGUAGAGAUCAAGAGGAAUACUCAUUGCGAAGGCGACCUGCUAGAACAUAACUGACGCUGAUGCGCGAAAGCGUGGGGAGCAAACAGGAUUAGAUACCCCAGUAGUC